UACGGGGGGGGCAAGCGUUGUUCGGAAUUACUGGGCGUAAAGCGCGUGUAGGCGGCUUUGCAAGUCGGAUGUGAAAUCCCACGGCUCAACCGUGGAAGUGCAUCCGAAACUGCAUCGCUAGAGUCUCGGAGAGGAAGGUGGAAUGCUUGGUGUAGAGGUGAAAUUCGUAGAUAUCAAGCAGAACACCUGCGGCGAAGGCGGCCUUCUGGACGAUGACUGACGCUGAGACGCGAAAGCGUGGGGAGCAAACAGG
rnacentral:rRNA from 1 species